AGAACGAACGCUGGCGGCAUGCCUAACACAUGCAGGUCGAACGAGACCUUCGGGUCUAGUGGCGCACGGGUGCGUAACGCGUGGGAAUCUGCCCUUCGGUUCGGAAUAACAGUGGGAAACUACUGCUAAUACCGGAUAAUGACGUAAAGUCCAAAGAUUUAUCGCCGAAGGAUGAGCCCGCGUAAGAUUAGCUAGUUGGUGAGGUAAAGCUCACCAAGGCUACGAUCUUUAGCUGGUCUGAGAGGAUGAUCAGCCACACUGGGACUGAGACACGGCCCAGACUCCUACGGGAGGCAGCAGUGGGGAAUAUUGGACAAUGGGCGAAAGCCUGAUCCAGCAAUGACCGCGUGAGUGAUGGAGGCCUUAGGUUGUAAAGCGUACUUUUACCCGGGAUGAUAAUGACAGUACCGGAGAAUAAGCUCCGGCUAACUCCGCGCCAGCAGCCGAC
rnacentral:rRNA from 1 species